UUUCAACUUUCAAAACUGUGAGGCAAGCAGACAUCUUUUUCUUAUUAAUUUCUCCACCUCAGGAAUUUUGCUACAGUAGUAGAAAAUGAGUGGACACAGGCAUCUUCCCAGGAGGACAGUGGCUCAUGGCAGUCUGUGAGGCCAUGUAGGAUGAAACCAAAAUCAACUCUGUUCCAGGGUGCGUUUCUAGAACUGGAACACAAACCUGUGUUGGGAAGUAUGUGGAGAAGUCUGUCCGGGAAGAUUCAGUGUCUGUGAGAUGGCAAAGAAAGGUCACCGCAUUUGUUUGCCACCCCGAGGGGAAAGCAGGACUGUGCACAAAGGUCCUACUGAAAAAAAUAUUUAAAUAAA
rnacentral:lncRNA from 1 species